rnacentral:rRNA from 1 species
GCGUGGGAAUCUGCCCUCUGGUACGGAAUAACUCAGGGAAACUUGAGCUAAUACCGUAUAAUGACUUCGGUCCAAAGAUUUAUCGCCUGAGGAUGAGCCCGCGUCGGAUUAGCUAGUUGGUGAGGUAAAAGCUCACCAAGGCGACGAUCCGUAGCUGGUCUGAGAGGAUGAUCAGCCACACUGGGACUGAGACACGGCCCAGACUCCUACGGGAGGCAGCAGUGGGGAAUAUUGGACAAUGGGCGAAAGCCUGAUCCAGCAAUGCCGCGUGAGUGAUGAAGGCCUUAGGGUUGUAAAGCUCUUUUACCCGGGAUGAUAAUGACAGUACCGGGAGAAUAAGCCCCGGCUAACUCCGUGCCAGCACC